GUGCCNUUUACUACUUGGAUAACCGUGGUAAUUCUAGAGCUAAUACAUGCUUAAAACCCCGACUUCGGAAGGGGUGUAUUUAUUAGAUAAAAAACCAAUGCCCUUCGGGGCUCUUUGGUGAUUCAUAAUAACGCAACGAAUCGCAUGGCCUUGUGCCGGCGAUGGUUCAUUCAAAUUUCUGCCCUAUCAACUUUCGAUUGUAGUUUAGUGGACUACAAUGGUUUCAACGGGUAACGGGGAAUUAGGGUUCGACUCCGGAGAGGGAGCCUGAGAAACGGCUACCACAUCCAAGGAAGGCAGCAGGCGCGCAAAUUACCCAAUCCCGACUCGGGGAGGUAGUGACAAUAAAUACUGAUACAGGGCUCUUUUGGGUCUUGUAAUUGGAAUGAGUACAAUUUAAAUCCCUUAACGAGGAACAAUUGGAGGGCAAGUCUGGUGAGACAAUGUCUCACUGCUGACGCCAGAAAUAGUGGCCCUGCCACUAGUCGAGCGCCUGUCAUUGAUGGGUAGGCGCCGGCAAGGUAACCCGGUACGGGGAACUCCUCGCAAGAGAAGACCCCGUGGCGAGCCCCUAUUCAGAGGGGUCGCCGUAACGCGCGGAAGGGUACCGCCUGAUCCAUCUGCGGAUCAGGCCGAGGGACGCGCUAUUCCACUGCGAGAGCAGGCCACAAACGUUCGCGCCCAUCACGCAAAGUUUGAGGCGUGUCGCCCACAUUGUCGGCGACAUUAGAUUUGAAUCAAGGCCAGCAGCCGCGGUAAUUCCAGCUCCAAUAGCGUAUAUUAAAGUUGUUGCAGUUAAAAAGCUCGUAGUUGAACCUUGGGCCUGGCUGACCGGUCCGCCUCACCGCGUGCACUGGCUCGGCCGGGCCUUUCCUUCUGUGGAUCCGCAUGCCCUUCACUGGGUGUGUUGGGGAAACAGGACUUUUACUUUGAAAAAAUUAGAGUGUUCAAAGCAGGCCUUUGCUCGAAUACAUUAGCAUGGAAUAAUAGAAUAGGACGGCCUUCCUAUUUUGUUGGUUUCUAGGAGUGCCGUAAUGAUUAAUAGGGAUAGUUGGGGGCAUCUGUAUUCAAUUGUCAGAGGUGAAAUNNNNNNNNNNNNNNNNNNNNNNNNNNNNNNNNNNNNNNNNNNNNNNNNNNNNNNNNNNNNNNNNNNNNNNNNNNNNNNNNNNNNNNNNNNNNCAGANANCGUCGUAGUCUUAACCAUAAACUAUGCCGACUAGGGAUCGGGCGAUGUUACUAUCUUGACUCGCUCGGCACCUUUCGAGAAAUCAAAGUUUUUGGGUUCUGGGGGGAGUAUGGUCGCAAGGCUGAAACUUAAAGAAAUUGACGGAAGGGCACCACCAGGAGUUAACAUAUACAGUAUCGCCGCAGCGACUCUGCUCCGCAAAGCAGCCCGAUAAGGGUGAGGUGGUUUUAGCCCGGGGUCCUCUAAAAAUUGGGGGCCCCAAAUCUAAAUGCUAGUCCACUUCGGUGGGCGACACGCUCAAAUUGCGGGAAAGUCCUAAAGCUCCAGACACCAAGCCGGCGAUCGAAAGAUGUCGGUGGCCAGGUUAAUAGCCAUGGGUAUGGUAACAGCUCUGGAGAUGCUACAAUGGGCGAUCCGCAUCCAAGCCCCGUACGUUGCAAGACGCGGGGAAGGUUCAGAGACUAGACGGGCGUGGGUCCAGUUGGGUUACAAAUCGAUUUUGAAAAGUUCUUUUGAGUUCAAAGCGUUGUUUCGUGCGUUGAUGCGUUUUUGUUUUGCAAGACGUAGAUGUUUUAGACAAGUAGUCCAAGCCUUUUUAAAAUCCUCAUCUCCUGUGCCAAAACACGCUUGAAAUUGCUUUAAACCAUAGAACUUUUCAAAUAACGUCAGUAACUUCAAAUACUGGGCUUAAGAUAUAGACCGUCCCUUACCGAAAGGUAACGGGAGCCCCUAUAAUUAUAGGGGGGCAACCAGUAAAACGGGAGCCUGCGGCUUAAUUUGACUCAACACGGGGAAACUCACCAGGUCCAGAUACACGUAGGAUUGACAGAUUGAGAGCUCUUUCUUGAUUGUGUAGUUGGUGGUGCAUGGCCGUUCUUAGUUGGUGGAGUGAUUUGUCUGCUUAAUUGCGAUAACGAACGAGACCUUCAUCGUUAAAUAGCCCGGCUCGCUUUGGCGUGUCGCCGGCUUCUUAGCGAGACUUUUGGCUUAAGCCAAAGGAAGUUGGAGGCAAUAACAGGUCUGUGAUGCCCUUAGAUGUUCUGGGCUGCACGCGCGCUACACUGACAGAGCCAACGAGUUUUUUUCCUUGUCCGGAAGGUCUGGGUAAUCUUGUUAAACUCUGUCGUGCUGGGGAUAGAGCAUUGCAAUUAUUGCUCUUCAACGAGGAAUGCCUAGUAAGCGCAUGUCAUCAGCAUGCGUUGAUUACGUCCCUGCCCUUUGUACACACCGCCCGUCGCUACUACCGAUUGAAUGGCUCAGUGAGGUCUCCGGAUUGGUUCAGGGAGGUUGGCAACGACCACCCAGGACCGAGAAGCUGAUCAAACUUGGUCAUUUAGAGGAAGUAAAA
rnacentral:rRNA from 1 species